CCUACGGGCGGCAGCAGUAGGGAAUAUUGCUCAAUGGGGGAAACCCUGAAGCAGCAACGCCGCGUGGAGGAUGAAGGUUUUCGGAUUGUAAACUCCUUUUGUUAGAGAAGAUAAUGACGGUAUCUAACGAAUAAGCACCGGCUAACUCCGUGCAAGCAGCCGCGGUAAUACGGAGGGUGCAAGCGUUACUCGGAAUCACUGGGCGUAAAGAGGGCGUAGGCGGGAUAGCAAGUCAGAUGUGAAAUCCUAUGGCUUAACCAUAGAACUGCAUUUGAAACUGUUAUUCUAGAGUAUGGGAGAGGUAGGUGGAAUGCUUGGUGUAGGGGUAAAAUCCGUAGAGAUCAAGAGGAAUACUCAUUGCGAAGGCGACCUGCUAGAACAUAACUGACGCUGAUGCGCGAAAGCGUGGGGAGCAAACAGGAUUAGAUACCCUUGUAGUC
rnacentral:rRNA from 1 species